rnacentral:tRNA from 1 species
GCAGUCGUGGCCGAGUGGUUAACGCGAUGGACUAGAAAUCCAUUGGGGUCUCCCCGCACAGGUUCGAAUCCUGUCGACUGCG